rnacentral:rRNA from 1 species
UUAAACAGUGGUGACAGCUGAUGUGAGAUUGGNUCNGGGGUAUGCGCAACGAGCGCAACCCCUGUCUCUAGUUGCCAGCGCGUCAAGGCGGGGACUCUAGAGAGACUGCCGGUGCCAAACCGGAGGAAGGUGGGGAUGACGUCAAGUCAUCAUGGUCCUUACGUCUAGGGCUACACACGUGCUACAAUGGCGGGGACAGAGGGUCGCGAGCCGGCAACGGCAAGCCAAUCCCGUAAACCCCGCCUCAGUUCGGAUUGUCGUCUGCAACCCGACGGCAUGAAGCUGGAAUCGCUAGUAAUCGUGGAUCAGCUACGCCACGGUGAAUACGUUCCCGGGCCUUGUACACACCGCCCGUCACGCCAUGGAAGCUGUGAGCGCCCGAAGUCCGUGUCGGAACCUGUGCAAACAGGGCCAAGCGGCCGAAGGCGAGCGCAGUGACUGGGGCGAAGUCGUAACAAGGUAGCCGUAGGGGAACCUGCGGCUGGAUCACCUCCUUAACGGAUCGCUAGUAACCUUUCGAGCGCGAGCUCGUGAAGGGGAACGCAUCUCGUAGUCGCUUCGCUUCGACACAUACUGUCCAUCCACUCUCGAUUGUUGACCCCGUUGGGCNUUCGGGGCCAUGAAGGGGUCAUNCGCCCUGGUAUGGAACAAACCGGGGAUUGUUAUUGGGGUUAAGAAAUUCCGUUGGGGGGGAAAUUUGGAAAUUGGAAAAUUUCCCCAUUUUUAAUUUUGGGCAAGAAAUUGAAACCUUUUUUUUUCCGGCCUAAAGAAAAAAACCCGUUUCANCUCCGUUUAAAGAAAAA